GGGUGGAUUAGUGGCGAACGGGUGAGUAACACGUGAGCAACCUGCCCCGAUCUCUGGGAUAAGCGCUGGAAACGGCGUCUAAUACCGGAUAUGCACCAGAACGGCAUCGUUACUGGUGGGAAAGAUUUUUCGGUUCGGGAGGGGCUCGCGUCCUAUCAGCUUGUUGGUGAGGUAAUGGCUCACCAAGGCGUCGACGGGUAGCCGGCCUGAGAGGGUGACCGGCCACACUGGGACUGAGACACGGCCCAGACUCCUACGGGAGGCAGCAGUGGGGAAUAUUGCACAAUGGGCGCAAGCCUGAUGCAGCAACGCCGCGUGAGGGAUGACGGCCUUCGGGUUGUAAACCUCUUUUAGUAGGGAAGAAGCCUUCGGGUGACGGUACCUGCAGAAAAAGCACCGGCUAACUACGUGCCAGCAGCCGCGGUAAUACGUAGGGUGCAAGCGUUAUCCGGAAUUAUUGGGCGUAAAGAGCUCGUAGGCGGUUUGUCGCGUCUGCUGUGAAAACUGGAGGCUCAACCUCCAGCUUGCAGUGGGUACGGGCAGACUAGAGUGCGGUAGGGGAGAUUGGAAUUCCUGGUGUAGCGGUGGAAUGCGCAGAUAU
rnacentral:rRNA from 1 species